GCCACGCCCACAUGCCCGGUCCUCUCCUGCGGAGCCUUCCAACCGCGCUCAACCAUCUUGACUAGGAACCAACCACCGUACUGUCUCCUUCGAGCCUGAUUUGUGAAACUUUCCACUGCUGCCGUCCGUAGGGCACGACGUGUUUCUGCCCACCAUGGGCCAGAGUUUUCGAUGACUUCGUGUGUGCAGAUCCAGGCUCCUGCCUGCGAUGAUUGGCGUCGCCUUCCUGCCACCCCCGCAGCCGUGGUUCUACCCAGCCUCCCGGGGACGCCUCUGCCAGGUGCGUCACUCCCACCUGGGUCGCGGCCCCGGCCUGGCCGUGUGCGUGGCGCUGCGGGACGCCUGCAGAAAAUAGGGAAUUCAGCCCGUGCCCACAAGUGAGGAUAAAGGAGCACGCGGGCCGAAGUGGAGCCUGGAGUUGUUUCGUCGCUGGCCCGCCGAGACUCUCGAUCAAGUGGACUUAGUCUUUGCUUCCGUGGUUCCUGGUCCCCAGUUCCUCCUUCCCACCAUGACGCUGGGAGGAGAACGCUGUGGCUUGGAAGGGGCCAGGCCGAACAAGUGGGAAACUGAGGAAGAGAGAGGUGAAGUUAUUUGGCCAGCAUGAUUCAGCUGUUCCAUGAAGGAUGAAUACUGAAGCCCAGCAAGUCCACUGGUGCAGGGAACUAUUUGUGAGACAGCUAUGCCAGGCUGUAUGAUAACCAGCCUUUCUCAACUCUUAAUUAUUAGAUCCUGAGAAAAGGACUGAGGCUAAAUAGAAAGAAGAAACUUAAACAGUCAAGUUCUGAAGCGAAGCACUGAAGCAGGUGAUUAAGGUGAUAGCAGGGAAAUUUUCUUCCUGGGAAGCCUUAAAAAGACGAAAACCAGAAGAGACACAUUGUCAUGCUAUAGACUCAGUGAUCUAUACUGAAACCAAAGGGUCCUGCUAAGUGCAUCCUAUCUGGAAGGAAAAAAUUUAAGGUGCCAGUUUUAGGCCAUACCUGUGCACUUCAUUUCACAGAAUUGGGGGAAAAGCAGAGCCCGGCAUCUUGGCCUCUCUGUCUGGCUCUGUGUGCCCGUAAGUGGCCAGGGCAGGUAUGGCUGCAGUUGGGCCACAGGCUGAACCUUAUCUCAGCCCACGAACCUCUUUUCUGCAGCCUGGCCACUUUCCUCCAGGCUGGUUGACACACUCUGAACCCCUCACCAUGGUGCCAGAGUUUGAGUGAAUCACCUUGUCCCUUGGAGGUUCCCAGAGACCCUGUCCCCUUGCUUAGGUUUAAGCUGCCCAGAGGCUGCUUUCCAGGUAAAAGUGGGCCCUUUGAGGUCUCUCUGAACCACUCCCAUCUUACUGUUUGCUUUCCUUUCUUAGGACCUGUCUUAGUUACUUUUCUUGCUCCUGAGACAAAAUACCCGACACCCAAAGUUAAAGGAGGAAAGGUUUGUUUAGCUCACAGCUCGUAGAAGUUUCAGAUCAUAGUUGGCUGGCUCCAAGGCAGAGUGGUGUGGCAGAGGGCAUCACAGAGGAGAAACAGUCCACAGCAAGCAGGCAGGCAAGAGCAAGCUGGGAAUGACCACAGCUCUUUCUAUCCCUUAUAUUUUAUCCAUGCUACUUAAGGUGGAUAGUAUUCACAUCCUUAAUCCUCGUGCCCUUGAUCCUAGCAUUGCACUAUGAAUCAAUUCCAGCAUCACAAAUUCUAGACCCAGCCACUUCUGAAAAAGCCCCACCUAUGACCACAUGAGGCUUUAGGAGGACAUCUAGACACAAGCCAUAACAGGGCCUUUUUCCCUUUAAAUAUUUUAUGCCUAUGGGUCUAGGAGGACUGAAGGAAAGGUUGUCUCUCAAUGAAUCCCCAAAGAACAAUCUAAGGGACAGCGUUGUGGGGUCAUAAAGGAGGAAGGGACCAAGGUAUCCUUUUACACUUAGUUCCCCUGUUUUCAGUACUUUUUUUAAAAAUUAAGCUCACAAAAAUUAACUCAUUUAUUUUUAGGAUGAAAAAGGGCCUAGGACUGUUCUUUUUUAUUUUCUAGAUGGUAGAAAUGGAAUGAAUGAAUGGAAGACAAUGUAAAAAAGGAAAGUAAGUCAAAGAAAAGUCCUCCCGGGACAGUGUUUUCAGAUUCUAGUAAAAUAUGAAUUGUUACCAUGACUUAGUAUAUUCAUGCAUAUAGAUAAAUUUUAAGAAACAAGAAGUGCCUCGUAAUAUUUUCUAUUAUUUUCUCUAUCGUCCCUCCCCCCUUUCCUCAUUUCUUCCUCUCUCUCUUUCUCUUUUUCGUUUUGGGGUCUACAACAUUGAUUUCUGGAUUUUGACCCAGUGUUUUUUUUUUUAUUUAAAUAUUAAUUAGUACCCUUUAGGUAUACAAUUCGUUUACAUUUAUCAUUGGGUGCUUGUACCUGAACAUGAUGUAUCUUGGUUAUUUUUUCCCUAUUACCUGUGCGCCCUUCACCCGCUCCACCCUUCCCUAUUUCCAUAGGCUUUGUUUCCGUUUUUUUUCUUUCUCAUAAUUUUUCCUUUCCCUUCCUCCCUUUCCCCUUCCCCUUGACCCAGUGUUUUUAAAAAUCUUUCCCUUGGUCAUGGGUUAUACUGAAUGGACUGUUCAAGUAACUGAUGGAAAGGCUCCAUCCCAGAAUUUGAUUCUAAAUAACAUGAACAAAUCUAUCUUGCCACGAUAUCCUCUUAUUUAGAAACUACAGAUGAGAGUCCCAGAAAGGCAUUUCUGGGACCAGCAUGACUUUCAAGGAGCACCUUCAGAACCCCACAGUGGCUCCAUGCUGGCUCCAGGGCUUUGGAGGCUUCUACCCCAAAAUCAUAUGGUUAGGGUGAGGCCACCAAGGCAGCCUGUGUCACCUAGAGUUUGCUUUUGUGACCUUAAAUCAGCCCUGGCAUUUUCCAGCUCUGGGAGGCUCUUUUGCCCUGGUAGAUCUUAUGGUGUUUCAGAAAUCCUGACUUCUCCAGGACAGGACAGCUCUGGGAAGUCAUCUGCUAUGCCAUGGGAAGUGAGAGUGCCAUUCAGCCUGCUGUGCACUGCCAGGUAUCUGCUCCUAAUCCAUUUGGCCCCGGGGCUCCAUUCUCAGUAGCCCAGCUCAUGUCUUCAUCCUCUGGGCUUUGGCACUUGUCUUUCCCACCUGCUCCCACAUCCUCAAGCCCCAGGUUGCCACCCUGCUGCCCGCACACAGCGUCUGCUGGCAGGGUAAUGUAGAGCCCGGGGGCCAGAGAAAGGCAGACAAUCACCUGCACCUCCAAGCAGAGGCAGCUCAGAGCUCUCCCAGGCUCCCAAGCAUUUGCUGGUCUCCUGCCCAAACUCCAGCAAACAGUGAUGACUCUUCACCAAGCCCAAAGCCCAUCCACUGAGGCCGGUGGGAUACACCAGAUGCUGGGGCUCUUUUCCCCUUACAGUGGGUUCUGCAGAGACUGUGAUCACUCUCGUGACAGGUCCAGGAUUCCCAUUCUGGUCGUCUAGGACAGAGUGCCUUUUAGAAGGGCCUAGUGAUGGAGGGAAGUGGAAAGACUCUGGGAUAGGAAUAAGCAACUCAGGAGCAGGUAAGAGGGGGAGUUAGUGUCACAAAAGUGCCAAAGAGAUGAGUAGGGAAAAGCGACAGACAAAAGAAGCCCCCUUUGCAGAGGAAAAUCUUCAGGAAGGACGAUUGGGAAAUAAUCUCUUUUUCUUCAUACCAAUGAGCAAAGCCCCACAAGCCUUGACCUGGGCACGCCCCGUUUGUUUCUCCAGAAGAACAGGAAGGACAUUCUGUAAGCAGCCCAGGAAUUUGUUCAGUAUCUUUCCCUGGGGCCCCAACUCCAGAAACAUGUGGCUGUUGACAGUUCUCCUUUGCCUUUGGCCUCUGGCCUGGGACAAGCACAUUGCAAGACAAGGCUGCCCCUUUCUGUGGCAUUUGCCUCAUUGUUCUCUGUCAUUAAAGAUGUCACUAUUGUUGAAGUUUUUGUUUCUGGUGUCCACCCC
rnacentral:lncRNA from 1 species